rnacentral:tRNA from 2 species
AGCCUUGUAGUGAAGUUCACAUCAGAUUGCAAAUCUGGAAAAUACACUUUAAUUGGUGUCUUGGUUU